rnacentral:rRNA from 1 species
CCUACGGGUGGCUGCAGUGGGGAAUAUUGGACAAUGGGGGGAACCCUGAUCCAGCCAUGCCGCGUGUGUGAAGAAGGCCCUCGGGUUGUAAAGCACUUUCAGUGAGGAAGAACGCCUGGUGGUUAAUACCCAUCAGGAAAGACAUCACUCACAGAAGAAGCACCGGCUAACUCCGUGCCAGCAGCCGCGGUAAUACGGAGGGUGCGAGCGUUAAUCGGAAUUACUGGGCGUAAAGCGCGCGUAGGUGGCUUGAUAAGCCGGUUGUGAAAGCCCCGGGCUCAACCUGGGAACGGCAUCCGGAACUGUCAAGCUAGAGUGCAGGAGAGGAAGGUAGAAUUCCCGGUGUAGCGGUGAAAUGCGUAGAGCUCGGGAGGAAUACCAGUGGCGAAGGCGGCCUUCUGGACUGACACUGACACUGAGGUGCGAAAGCGUGGGUAGCAAACAGGAUUAGAUACCCUGGUAGUC